GCCGGCUUAGCUCAGGGGCAGAGCAGCAGUUUUGUAAACUGCGGGUCGUGGGUUCGAACCCCACAGCCGGCUCC
rnacentral:tRNA from 1 species